GGGGCUGUGGCUUAGUGGUAGAGCACUCACCUAGCAUGUGUGGGGCACUGGGUUCAAGCCUCAGUCCCA
rnacentral:tRNA from 1 species